rnacentral:piRNA from 1 species
GGCAGGUGCAUCAAAAGGC